rnacentral:rRNA from 1 species
GAUGAACGCUGGCGGCGUGCCUAAUACAUGCAAGUCGAGCGAACGGACGAGAAGCUUGCUUCUCUGAUGUUAGCGGCGGACGGGUGAGUAACACGUGGAUAACCUACCUAUAAGACUGGGAUAACUUCGGGAAACCGUAGCUAAUACCGGAUAAUAUUUUGAACCGCAUGGUUCAAAAGUGAAAGACGGUCUUGCUGUCACUUAUAGAUGGAUCCGCGCUGCAUUAGCUAGUUGGUAAGGUAACGGCUUACCAAGGCAACGAUGCAUAGCCGACCUGAGAGGGGGAUCGGCCACACUGGAACUGAGACACGGUCCAGACUCCGGCGGGAGGCAGCAGUAGGGAAGCUUCCGCAAUGGGCGAAAGCCUGACGGAGCAACGCCGCGUGAGUGAUGAAGGUCUUCGGAUCGUAAAACUCUGUUAUGAGGGAAGAACAUAUGUGUAAGUAACUGUGCACAUCUGGACGGUACCUAAUCAGAAAGCCACGGCUAACUACGU